rnacentral:tRNA from 1 species
UGGCUCAGUUGGUAAAGCAUCUGCCUGCAAUGCAGAAGACCUGGGUUUGAUCCCUAG